ACUGGGCUGAAAUUAAAAUUGUGUUAAAUUUUGUUGCGAGAUGCCAGAUGAGCUCCACAUCAUUGAUGUGUUAGUUCUUUUUUGUAUCUUUCAAAGUACCCACCUACUAAUUCCUUUUGAUGUCAUAUUUUGGUAGCAAACCAACCAAAGAUGUGUUCUACCUUCAAGCAGACAAGUAUGGGUGAUUGUGAAACAGCAGGUCCUUCUACAUCAGGGGUAUUACCUUCCUCAAAGAAGAAAACAAGGUUUUCCAACAACAAUGUUUUGGAUACUGACAGAAGCUCUGCCAGCGAUUUCGAUCUGCCUAAUUCUGAGAGUGACGAUGAUCAGCUCUAUACCAAGAAUAGAGUCUAUGGUAAGAAUUAAGUAAAGUCAUUAAGUUUUCCAAAUUUCAUAUCUUGGUCAUAGUAUUUAUGUGAUACAUAUGAUACAAGCAGUUUCGUGUGAUAAUUAUAAUAACAAAUAUUUGAAGCACAAAAUUCAUAUUUAGCCCCCCCCCCC